rnacentral:rRNA from 1 species
AUUGAACGCUGGCGGCAUGCUUUACACAUGCAAGUCGAACGGUAACAGGGUGCUUGCACCGCUGACGAGUGGCGAACGGGUGAGUAAUACAUCGGAAUGUACCCAGUAAUGGGGGAUAACGCCUCGAAAGAGUAGCUAAUACCGCAUACGCCCUACGGGGGAAAGGGGGGGAUCGCAAGACCUCUCACUACUGGAGCGGCCGAUAACGGAUUAGCUAGUUGGUGAGGGAAAGGCUCACCAAGGCAACGAUCCGUAGCUGGUUUGGAGAGGACGACCAGCCACACUGGGACUGAGACACGGCCCAGACUCCUACGGGAGGCAGCAGUGGGGAAUUUUGGACAAUGGGGGCAACCCUGAUCCAGCCAUUCCGCGUGUGCGAUGAAGGCCUUCGGGUUGUAAAGCACUUUUGGCAGGAAAGAAAUCGUACGGAUUAAUACUCUGUGUGGAUGACGGUACCUGCAGAAUAAGCACCGGCUAACUACGUGCCAGCAGCCGCCGUAA